rnacentral:rRNA from 1 species
GACGAACGCUGGCGGCGUGCUUAACACAUGCAAGUCGAACGGAAAGGCCCUGCUUUUGUGGGGUGCUCGAGUGGCGAACGGGUGAGUAACACGUGAGUAACCUGCCCUUGACUUUGGGAUAACUUCAGGAAACUGGGGCUAAUACCGGAUAGGAGCUCCUGCUGCAUGGUGGGGGUUGGAAAGUUUCGGCGGUUGGGGAUGGACUCGCGGCUUAUCAGCUUGUUGGUGGGGUAGUGGCUUACCAAGGCUUUGACGGGUAGCCGGCCUGAGAGGGUGACCGGCCACAUUGGGACUGAGAUACGGCCCAGACUCCUACGGGAGGCAGCAGUGGGGAAUAUUGCACAAUGGGCGGAAGCCUGAUGCAGCAACGCCGCGUGCGGGAUGACGGCCUUCGGGUUGUAAACCGCUUUCGCCUGUGACGAAGCGUGAGUGACGGUACCUGGAGAAGAAGGACCGGCCAACUACGUG